GCCGAGAUAACUCAGUUGGGAGAGCGUUAGACUGAAGAUCUAAAGGUCCCUGGUUCGAUCCCGGGUCUCGGCA
rnacentral:tRNA from 1 species